UACUAGAGUAGCACUCGCAUAUCAAUAAGCGGAGGAAAAGAAACUAACAAGGAUUCCCCUAGUAACGGCGAGUGAAGCGGGAAGAGCUCAAAUUUGAAAUCUUAAAGGGUUUCCCUUUACGAAUUGUAGUUUAAAGAAGUGUUUUCUGUUGAGGUUUUGGUAAAAGUUCUUUGGAAUAGGACAUCAUAGAGGGUGAGAAUCCCGUAUUUGACCUUUACUUUCAACUUUGUGAUACACUUUCAAAGAGUCGGAUUGUUUGGGAAUGCAGUCCAAAAUGGGUGGUAAAUUUCAUCUAAAGCUAAAUAUUGGCGAGAGACCGAUAGCGAACAAGUACCGUGAGGGAAAGAUGAAAAGAACUUUGAAAAGAGAGUUAAACAGUACGUGAAAUUGUCAAAAGGGAAGCGUUUGACACCAGUGUUGUUUUUCUGAAAAUCAAUUAAAGAACUGUUUAUGCUAAGCUGUUUAGACUUUAUCAGCUAACUGUUUAGUUUUGAGCUUUUCUUUAAUGCACUUUUCAGUUAACAAGUCAACAUCAAUUUCUUUUGCUGUAAAAAAGCUUGAGGAAGGUGGCUUGAGAUUCGUCUUAAGUGUUUAUAGCCUCUUGCCUAUGCAGUCGGAGAGAUUGAGGUCUGCAGCGUAGAUCCUUCGGGGCUAAAUGCAUUUGUGCUAAGUUAUAGCAUUUUAUAGACAACUUGUUGACUAUGAUUUGUCUUGUAGCUUACUCGCUUAUGUUAUUUUACCUACGCUUAGGAUGUUGAGUCAUCACACAUCUCU
rnacentral:rRNA from 1 species